GUCAGGCUGUUUCCCAAAGCAAGCUGCAUUGCCGCGCUGCAGGUGGCGAAGGCUCGGGCUCGGAGCUCGCCGCGGCUCUUCAAGGGUUGCCAAGCGCGCGCCAAAGCGCUCCGCCUCAGACCUGGUUCCUCUUCGCACCCGGGGCAAACGCGGCCGUGUCCCUGCAUCGGGUCUACUUCGCAAGCACUUUUCCUCCGGAAAGCGGGAAACCGCGGGAUUUGGGUGUCGGGCCACAAACAGCUCGCAGGUUCUUGUGAAGAAAACAACGUAGAUCAAAGAUAGACAGCUCUUCAGAUGUUUUGGAUUAUAGCUUGCUCUAUCUCCUGAGUUGGCGUGCUGGGGUUGAUAGCAGUUGAAGCUGGAAGCAUCUGCUGCGUUCCAGGUUUGUCUAUGUCUGCUUCAGAUUUAAAGCCAAAAUAAAAACAGUGCUGCAUAUCAUGAAAGGAAUGUGUUGUCUGGCACUUUAUUUUUAAAAUAAAAUACCUACAUUUCUCAAAAUAAAGCCUUUUUUCUUUUUAAGCCUCUUCCUUUGCAUUAAUCUACUUGUUAGUUUUAGCUAUCUAUCUCUCAACUCACAUUGUUCACAACAUCAUGUUAUCAUUAAGCAUUCU
rnacentral:lncRNA from 1 species